rnacentral:rRNA from 1 species
GGCUACCAUGGAGUCGACGCUCCGCAUGGAGAGUGGCAGACGGGUGAGUAACACGUGGGAAUCUUCUUAUCGGUACGGAAUAGCUCAGGGAAACUUGAGGUAAUACCGCAUACGCCCUUCGGGGGAAAGAUUUAUCGCCGAUAGAUGAGCCCGCGUCUGAUUAGCUAGUUGGUGGGGUAAUGGCCUACCAAGGCGACGAUCAGUAGCUGGUCUGAGAGGAUGACCAGCCACACUGGGACUGAGACACGGCCCAGACUCCUACGGGAGGCAGCAGUGGGGAAUAUUGGACAAUGGGCGCAAGCCUGAUCCAGCCAUGCCGCGUGAGUGACGAAGGUCUUCGGAUUGUAAAGCUCUUUUGCCAGGGACGAUAAUGACGGUACCUGGAGAAUAAGCCCCGGCUAACUUCGUGCCAGCAGCCGCGGUAAUACGAAGGGGGCUAGCGUUGUUCGGAAUUACUGGGCGUAAAGCGCACGUAGGCGGAUUUGUUAGUCAGGGGUGAAAUCCCGGGGCUCAACCUCGGAACUGCCUUUGAUACUGCAAGUCUAGAGUCUGGAAGAGGUGAGUGGAAUUCCUAGUGUAGAGGUGAAAUUCGUAGAUAUUAGGAAGAACACCAGUGGCGAAGGCGGCUCACUGGUCCGGUACUGACGCUGA